UCUUCUUCUACGCCUUUCCAAUGUCUCUAUCCAACUUCUGAGCGGUUCAAAGUUUUCUUCCAUGAUCUGCCAUUAAUUUGUCCUAUUAUUGAUUUUUCAAAACAGUAGUAUUAACAUCACGAAACUCUCUCCUUCUUCUACUUUCUCACUCAAUAGACAAUAGUCUAUAUAAGAUGGUUGCAUCCAAUAAUAUAAGUUUUCAAAAAAGUUCUAUUGAGGGCAACCAAAACUCGGCUUCUGUCGAUCUCAGAGAUCCAACCCGAAAAACAAAGCUGCAGAGAGAUUUCAAGCAAAGAUUCACUGAUAUCUUCCUAGCUUGCUCUUCCACCUCUUCUGGUUGAUUUGGAAAGGGAUCCCGCUGGUAUUGAGGCAAAAGGUCUGCCAAGAAAGUCACGCCCGCAACACAGCGAUAGAGAAAUUGGAGUUUGAUUUUAUUCAGAGUCUCAUUUUUUAUUGUUCUUCAGGAAGAUUGAUUUACAAUAUUUGAUUUUCACUUAAUUUUCUAGGUUAUAUUGGUAUUGUUUUUAGCUGGUUCUAAGCUCUGUUUCAUGUUGUAAUUUUAUGUAUUCUCAAAAGCGUUGUGAAAGAAAAAGCGUUAUUUUUUAGCUGCUAGAGCUUCAAGAACAGAGAAUCAAAUAUGGUUGGAAUACUUUCUGAACCUAAAGAACCAACAGUUGGUAUUAGAGAGAUACACUACUUCCAAUUCAAUCCAGUCCACUUAUAUCUAUAGUAAUGGAGACAGGCACCGAGUAAGCAAAAGGAGCUCCAGAAAAGAUUCUUGAUAUGUGCAAGUGCAACACAAGAGCUGAUCUGAGGAACAGAGUCCACUUAGCAAUUGAUAAGUACACUGAGCCUGGACUGAGGUCAUUAGCUGUUGCAAGAUGGCUCUACGUGAGAAAACCAAAAAUAAGCUCUGGUGGUCCAUGUGAAUUCAUUGGUCUGUUACCUUUGUUUGGUCUUCCGAAAUAUGAUAAUGCAUACACCAUUAGAAGAGCUUCAGACUUCGGUGUCAACAUCCAGAUGAUCACUGGUUACUAUCUGUGUAUUUACUUCUCACUUUGGCUUUAAUCUUAUGCUGUAUUGGUUUUCUUAUAGGUGACAAACUUGCUAUUUCCAAAUAGACUCGACGUAUGCUCGGUAUGGGAUGAAACAUGUAUCCAUCAGCAUCAGCUUCUCUACUUAGCAAUCACAAAGACGAAAGCCUAGCUGCUGUUCCUGUUGAACAGUUGAUUGAGACAGUUGAUGGCCAACAUCACAGCACUAUUUCAUAAAGAUAUGUUAACACAGUUGACAAGACCCAGUGCGUAUAAUUUCAUAAAGAUAUGUUAACCACAUGUCUACAAGUACUCUAAGUAUUCAUCCAGCAAAAGCUAGGAGGUCCUUCAGUUUCUGAUUACAAGAAGCUUCAAUCUGAGAAGUCUGAUCUUCAAAUAAAGUACUAUGAGUUUUUUGCUAAACAUCAAGGAACGUUGAGAGAGUUAGAUGGAAGUGAAAAGCUUGCAUUCUCGAAGAAUUCCAUAGCUCCGACCAGAAAUUCAUUAGCCAAGUGAUGAUUAUGUUGUGAGAGAGGAAGUCACAACUCAGGGUUGAAGUCUUCCAGGAGAUCAAAACUCUGCCUCUCUAUGGUGACAUAGUAAAGCUUCAGCUCAUUCUUGCUGAUCUUCUGCGCAACAUUGUGAAUCAUGUCCCGUUUCCAGAUAGUUGGGUAGGAAUCAAGAUCUCAUCAAGCCACAAGCUUGCACACGAAAAUGAUCAUAUAUCCAUCUCCAGUUCAGGAUGAUACAUCCUGGAAAUGAUUUCUUUCAGAGAUACUAAGUGAUAUGUUUGAGACAUGAGAUGGAUGGGUCACGCCUGAUGGCUUAUGACUUAAGCAGAUGAAUGGUAGUGUGAGUUAUGUUAGAGAAGACGAACGUUGUUUCUUUCAAGUGGAUCUUCAAGUUAAGACAAGGUUAGGUGUUGCGACCAUAGGAACAGAGGCUGGUUCAAGCAUACAAUAGAGAUUCUGAGUUACAAAGGCAUAUAUAAAAUUUGACGAUGGAUUUAGAACUAUGGAUUUAACUUUUACUUAUUUUAACGUUAAACCCAUUAUGGCCCAACAAAAUAUUGAACAUAAAUUUUGUUUCU